rnacentral:rRNA from 1 species
UUCUGCAGCCCUAUCCUCCAGGGCUGCAAUCUCAUUAGAUCUCACUAACUAAACAGGGUCAAGCCAGGUUAGCCUGUGGAUGGGAGACCUCCCAAGAUAAACUCAGGGUGUGGCAGGAA